AUACGGAGGGAGCAAGCGUUAUUCGGAAUCACUGGGCGUAAAGGACGCGUAGGCGGGUUUGUAAGUCAGGUGUGAAAUCCUACAGCUCAACUGUAGAACUGCACUUGAAACUACAGACCUAGAGUAUGGAAGGGGCAGAUGGAAUUAGUGGUGUAGGGGUAAAAUCCGUAGAUAUCACUAGGAAUACCGAAAGCGAAGGCGAUCUGCUGGGACAUUACUGACGCUGAGGCGUGAAAGCGUGGGUAGCAAACAGGAUUAGAAACCCCGGUAGUCC
rnacentral:rRNA from 1 species